rnacentral:lncRNA from 1 species
UUGACUUUAACUUUCUGUUUCAUCUUAAUUCUGAAAUAAUAACAUACUCCUUGGAUAGAUCACUUUUGAUCUUGUGUUGAAGGUGUUGAUACUUCAAAGUUGUGCUUGACAAAGCUUUGGUCUUGAACUUGGUUGAAGUCUAUUGUACAUAAAAUACAGAUUUCUGUUAUACUCGAAAACAUUGAAAAUAACAAGAAGUUGAUAGAAAAGCUAUAAACUGUUCUAGUUAAUGUUAGUGAUAAAGAAGACUUAGUUAAACAACAUGCUAAAGUGGCAGAAGAAGUUGUUUCAGGUAUCUUCCAUCAUGCCAUUUCUAAGAAAUAGUAUCCAGACAAUAUUCAUCCCUUUUGUUGUACAUGAAUUACAUGUGGAAAUAAUAUUUUGAAACGUAUUCUGAUAAAUCAUUCAUUUUUUUCUCUUGAUUAGUUCUAAGUUCUUUUCAUAACACUUGGUAGGUUGGAAAAAGGAAGAAAAUGAGGCUAUAGUUCUAUACCAGCAAUUUGCGUCAGCUGUUACCAAAACUUGACUUCGGAUGUUUGCGGCAAUCAUCUUUAUAAUGCUCUCAAGGAAUGUGUCAGGAAGUUGAGACAAGCUUGA